GGGACACCACUGUCAGGGUCCCUCGCUCCCUUGAGACAACACAUACAGCUCUCCAGCCCUGGUGCAAGGCAGUGCGAGCCUUUGUUUUAGCUGUUUGAGGCAGAGUGGUUGAAGAUGGAAGAUUGGAAGCUUGGAAGAUUCAUGUAAGAUUCAAGAUCACAGACAGUAGAAGAGGCUUGGCAAGUCAGAUGUAAUCC